rnacentral:lncRNA from 1 species
CAAUACCUCACUCGGGGGCGGUGGAGCAAGGCAGGGGCCAGAGCAAAGAUCUGCCCUACCCACUCACAGCCUAUUAAACGUGCCUAAGGGCCGGCCCCAGGGCCAUCGGCCUUACCCGUGCGCUUUCGGGUGGGACCACGCUCCAGAAUCUGCCUCUUCUGCGACUGUUACUUUACUCUUUUGGGGGUGGGGUGGGGUUCCCUAUCUGAAGAACCAUUGCAGGUGGCUGCCUGUUCCCUGGGGCCCUGGGUGCUCGCCAGCUCAGCUAGGCCCGGGGCCUCCCUGCUAUUUCCCCCUUCAGGAAAGUUGUGUGCCACUUCCUUUGCCACAGAAACCUGCUCCCGGGCCCUUCCCUGUCCCAAAUGGCCACUUGUGAGGAGGGACUCACCACCACCAACAGGGCAGUCAUCUCCUUGCUUGUCUGUCAAGGGCUUGGGUCUCUUAGGGCUGAGAGCCUCCCAGGAGAUGUGGACCCAGAGAUGCAACAACUGCCCGGCCUCCACGGGGACAGUCUCUCUGGAGACCUCCACAGGGACAGUCUCUCUGGGUGGCUUCUUACUGCGCCUGGGAGCCACUGGGCGGGUUCCCGGCCACACAUCUGGCACCCUGACUGUUUCCUUCCUCCUCCCCCAGAUGUCUUGACAGGAUCACUGGGGCUCUUUGUGACUGAGGGUGGUCAAACUGCCACCGGAGGAGAUGGGGUCUCAGAGCAAGAGCUGGGAGGGGAGGGAGGGAAGGAUGAAGGCCUUGAUUUUGCUGCUGCGGGUCCCACAGCCGUGUUGGGGGGGAGGGGCCAAGCUGCAGACACACACGGUCAUUCAUUGCAGGCCACACCCCUUGUAGGAAGUGUACGUGUGCGCGCACGUGCACAUCCAAGUUCACACAUGCACACUAGCCUCCACUUACACGCUCGCCUGGGGCUGGCAGUCCCAUCGCCCCCUCAAAUCUGGAAGAGGGGCUAUGCUUGUUUGUUUUUGUAAUCCACAUCAUGAUUGCUUUCUUUAAUUGUUCCUCCUGAAUAAACAGUUUAUUUAAGAUACUGAAUAG